GAUGGAAAGGGACCGGGCCGGGGGGGUUUCAUGGCGCCUCACAGCCCAAACCCCACGGAGUCCAAAUGCGGAGCGUGUCACGGCGAGGGGAAUGCCAAAGGUGGUUUUCCUCGGCUACUCGCUGCCUUUCCAAAAAAUGUUAUUUUGCCCACCUUGUAAAGCGAAGUUGCAAGCGCUUAAGUUGCGGGCGGACUGUAACAUAUUCCCUGUUGGUUUGUUAGUUUGUCCUGUAUUUGUUCCUUUUUAAUUCCGUGGCUGGCGCAGCACCCAGAAAUAAUCAAGAAAUUGUUGUGCUUUCUAGUAUCUUAUUUCUGUCCCAUUUUAAAAAAUAAAAGGCAACCCAUGUUCCUUAGGCUUCCCAAAAAAUCAUGAUAGCAGUGGCUCCUCUGUAUGAGGUUUGUUUGUACACUUGGGAGAUUUGAGAAAGUGGGCCUGUUGUCUGAGUUUUCCAUCCUUGGAACAGCUUUCUGUGUCAUGAUUAUCAUUUUCACUCUCGAAUCCAGGGGCUCAAAGAUUUCCCACCAUGAACAAUUAACACACACCACUGUCUUGUGUCUCUGCAAGCGUUUCUACAGACUUGGGCCGGCCCUACCAUUAGGGAGAAUGAGACUACUGUCACUUUACCCCACAUAAGCUCACUUGACAGCUUGGAUCUGCCACAUAAUAUUCACUGUGCACUUGUAAGAAAUCAGUCUUUUUGUGUGGAAGCACCUGUACAUUGGAACUCCCUGCAGGUGUUUUCACUGUACUGUUUUCAGUGCCCAUUAAAACAUGGUGCCUUCUUACAUAAUUCUAGGCACCAGGCAAAAACAUUUCUCUUCCCCCAGGCAGUUAGUUGGCUGAUAAAACUAUCUAUGGCCUUUUAAAUGUGUUGGGGGUAUUGUUGGUGGUGGUAUGUUUGCUUAUCAUGUUAUGUGUUUUGUGUUUUUAUAUUGCAAACUACCCUGUGAUAUUUGGAUGAAGGGAUAAAUUUUAUUAUUAAUAAUAAUAAUUGUUUAGGCAGUUCUAGCAAAUGUGUUUUAUUUGUUUCUAAACUAGAGUAGGGACGCAGGUGGCACUGUGCUUUAAACCACCGAGUCUCUUGGGCUUGCUGAUCAUAAGUCCAGCAGUUCAAAUCAGUGUGACGGGGUCUGCUCUUGUUGCUUUCUUCCAGCUCCUGCCAACCCAGCAGUUUGAAAGCAUACCAGCGCAAGUAGGUAAGAUAAGGUAAGGUGAAUGGCGUUUCCGUGUGCUCUGGCACUUAUCACGGUGUCCCAUUGAACCAGUAGCAAUUUAGUUCUGCUUGCCACAUGACCCGGAAAACUGUCUGUGGACCAACGCCGGCUCCCUCAGCAGGAAAAGCAGAGAUGAGCACCCCACCCCAUAGUCAAAUUCAACUGGACUUAACCAUCCAGGGGUCCUUUACCGUUUUUUACCUUAGCUAGAGUUAAUUUGCGGGGCGCGGGUGGUGCUGUGGUCUAAACCACUGAGCCU